GUGCUUGCUUCAGCAGCACCUAUCCUAAAAUUGGAAUGUACAGAGAAGAUUAGCAUGGCCCCCGAGCAAGGAUGAGAUGCAAAUUCCCAAAGACUUAGUUUAAGUGC